GACUUGACAGCACUUCAAAUCCACCUAGAGGAGCCUGUCCUAUAAUCGAAAGUACACGAUUCACCUAACCACCCCUAGUCUACCCAGUUUGUAUACCGCCGUCGCAAGCCUGUCUCGCUGAGAGAAACAAAAUGGGCACAACAGCCUCCUAGGCUAAAACGUCAGGUCAACGUGCAACUAAUGGGGUGGGAAGGAUGUGCUACAUUUUCUAACACAUAGAAAUACGUGACGGAACGUCCCGUGAAA
rnacentral:rRNA from 1 species